rnacentral:rRNA from 1 species
AGCGAACGCUGGCGGCGUGGCUAAGACAUGCAAGUCGCACGGGCGUAGCAAUACGUCAGUGGCGAACGGGUGAGUAAUGAAUCGCUAACGUGCCCCGGACUCUGGGAUAGCCAACCGAAAGGUUGGGUAAUACCAGAUGACAUGACCGAACCGCAUGGUUUGGUCCUCAAAGGUCCGCCGGUCUGGGAGCGGGCGAUUUCGUAUCAGCUAGUUGGUGAGGUAACGGCUCACCAAGGCGACGACGCGUAGCCGGACUGAGAGGUUGGCCGGCCACAUUGGGACUGAGACACUGCCCAGACUCCUACGGGGGGCUG